GGUCAACUUCCCAAAUCCCAAUGAACAGCACUGUUGUGAUUUUUUUCAGAUGCAGUGUCUCAGCCCAGGGUGAAUUACUUCUGCCAGCACAAUAAGAAUGUUGAAUUCCACUGCUCAGUACAAAAUGGUGACUACCUUAUGUUCGAAUGGAGUUUAAAUGGAAACACACUAGAUGGUAAAAAAGCCUCCUCUGGAAACAAAACCUCUGUACUAGCCUUGAACAAGAUGAUCUCUGGAAAUGUAAUCUGUAUUGUUAGAAACAAUAUCAGUAAAAGUCAGAGUAAACCUCUCUCAUUUACCUGUGCAGGUGUGUUUGGUGGAAUUAUCUGGUACCUGAUUGGAGGCAUUGGCACCACUGUGCUGUUGAUCAUUAUUGCAGUGUCUGUUCUACGUUGCUGCCUUCCAAAGCCACAAUCCCAACCAGAUGUUGAAAAGUUAGAUUCUGAGCACACGCAGGAUGUCCCAAGCCCAUCUUCAGUUUUACAGAGAAAGACAAGUGUGGUGUACACUUCAAUCAAGAUCCAAAGAAAAAUGAACUGAACUGGAUUAAUUCAGGAGAUGAUUUACUUUAAUGUAUUGUUUGUCUGUUUGCUUUUUUUAAACUUAUAAAUGAAACAUUAACACAUGACAGGAAGUGCGUUGGAUGUGUGCAGCAUCAUGCCUCAGGUGGGUUCAAAGUUCGGACAUAAGGUAAAGUGGCCCAGUAUCCUUACCCAUGGAGUUCUGCAGGAUAGCAAGUAUCAGAGCCCUAUCAAACAGCAGGACUUAAAAA